GACGAACGCUGGCGGCGUGCCUAACACAUGCAAGUCGAGCGAGUUGAUUCUCUUCGGAGAUGAAGCUAGCGGCGGACGGGUGAGUAACACGUGGGCAACCUGCCUCAUAGAGGGGAAUAGCCUCCCGAAAGGGAGAUUAAUACCGCAUAAGAUUGUAGCUUCGCAUGAAGUAGCAAUUAAAGGAGUAAUCCGCUAUGAGAUGGGCCCGCGGCGCAUUAGCUAGUUGGUGAGGUAACGGCUCACCAAGGCGACGAUGCGUAGCCGACCUGAGAGGGUGAUCGGCCACAUUGGGACUGAGACACGGCCCAGACUCCUACGGGAGGCAGCAGUGGGGAAUAUUGCACAAUGGGGGAAACCCUGAUGCAGCAACGCCGCGUGAGUGAUGACGGCCUUCGGUUGUAAGACGUCUGUCUUCAGGACGAGUAAUAGACGGUACCGUACGAGGAGGAAGGACCGAACGGCCGUAACCGUACCGUACGCCACGGCAGCCGCCGGUAACG
rnacentral:rRNA from 1 species